GACGGAGGAUGCAAGUGUUGUCCGGAAUCACUGGGCGUAAAGCGUCUGUAGGUGGUUUAAUAAGUCAACUGUUAAAUCUUGAGGCUCAACCUCAAAAUCGCAGUCGAAACUAUUAGGCUAGAGUAUAGUAGGGGUAAAGGGAAUUUCCAGUGGAGCGGUGAAAUGCGUAGAGAUUGGAAAGAACACCGAUGGCGAAGGCACUUUACUGGGCUAUUACUAACACUCAGAGACGAAAGCUAGGGUAGCAAAUGGG
rnacentral:rRNA from 1 species